rnacentral:rRNA from 1 species
AUUGAACGCUGGCGGCAGGCUUAACACAUGCAAGUCGAGCGGAGAGAGGUAGCUUGCUACUGAUCUUAGCGGCGGACGGGUGAGUAAUGCUUAGGAAUCUGCCUAUUAGUGGGGGACAACAUUUCGAAAGGAAUGCUAAUACCGCAUACGUCCUACGGGAGAAAGCAGGGGAUCCUCGGACCUUGCGCUAAUAGAUGAGCCUAAGUCGGAUUAGCUAGGUGGUGGGGUAAAGGCCUACCAAGGCGACGAGCUGUAGCGGGUCUGAGAGGAUGAUCCGCCACACUGGGACGGAGACACGGCCCAGACUCCUACGGGAGGCAGCAGUGGGGAAUAUUGGACAAUGGGCGGAAGCCUGAUCCAGCCAUGCCGCGUGUGUGAAGAAGGCCUUAUGGUUGUAAAGCACUUUAAGCGAGGAGGAGGCUACUUUAGUUAAUACCUAGAGAUAGUGGACGUUACUCGCAGAAUAAGCACCGGCUAACUCUGUGCCAGCCGCCGCGGUAACAC